UCCGUAGGGGGCAAGCGUUGUCCGGAUUUAUUGGGCGUAAAGAGCGUGUAGGCGGCCAGGUAGGUCCGUUGUGAAAACUCGAGGCUCAACCUCGAGACGCCGAUGGAAACCAUCUGGCUAGAGUCCGGAAGAGGAGAGUGGAAUUCCCGGUGUAGCGGUGAAAUGCGCAGAUAUCGGGAAGAACACCCGUGGCUAAGGCGGCUCUCUAGUACGGUACUGACGCUGAGACGCGAAAGCGUGGGGAGCGAACAGG
rnacentral:rRNA from 1 species